rnacentral:rRNA from 1 species
GACGAACCGUGCGAACGUUGUUCGGAAUCACUGGGCUUAAAGGGCGCGUAGGCGGGUCGGCAAGUCAGGGGUGAAAGCCCGCGGCUCAACCGCGGAAGCGCCUUUGAUACUGCCGGCCUCGAGGGAGGCAGGGGAGUGCGGAACUUCCGGUGGAGCGGUGAAAUGCGUAGAUAUCGGAAGGAACAUCGGUGGCGAAAGCGGCGCUCUGGACCUCUACUGACGCUGAGGCGCGAAAGCCAGGGGAGCAAAACGGGG